UACGUAGGGGGCAAGCGUUGUCCGGAUUUAUUGGGCGUAAAGAGCGUGUGGGCGGCCAGGUAGGUCCGCUGUGAAAACUCGAGGCUCAACCUCGAGAUGUCGGCGGAAACCAUCUGGCUAGAGUCCGGAAGAGGAGAGUGGAAUUCCUGGUGUAGCGGUGAAAUGCGCAGAUAUCAGGAAGAACACCCGUGGCGAAGGCGGCUCUCUGGGACGGUACUGACGCUGAGACGCGAAAGCGUGGGGAGCGAACAGG
rnacentral:rRNA from 1 species